rnacentral:misc_RNA from 1 species
CUUUUGAGCCCCUUCCCUCACCGUGAAAAUGUUGAAAUUUUGAAAUUGCCCACUAGGAAAGGCACAGAGAUUGUGGCAAUGUACAUAAGGCAUCCUAUGGCCACCUCUACUCUUCUUUACUCUCAUGGGAACGCUGCCGAUCUGGGGCAGAUGUAUGANUUUCAUCGAAUUGAGCAUCCACCUGAGGGUUAAUCUCAUGGGGUAUGACUAUUCCGGUUAUGGACAAUCAUCUGGAAAGCCAAGUGAACAGAAUACAUAUGCAGAUAUUGAAGCUGCAUACAAGAGCCUAGAAGAAAAUUAUGGAACCAAGCAAGAAGACAUUAUCCUUUAUGG